rnacentral:rRNA from 1 species
UGGGGAAUAUUGCGCAAUGGGGGGAACCCUGACGCAGCCAUGCCGCGUGAAUGAAGAAGGCCUUAGGGUUGUAAAGUUCUUUCGGUAUUGAGGAAGGUUGAUGUGUUAAUAGCACAUCAAAUUGACGUUAAAUACAGAAGAAGCACCGGCUAACUCCGUGCCAGCAGCCGCGGUAAUACGGAGGGUGCGAGCGUUAAUCGGAAUAACUGGGCGUAAAGGGCACGCAGGCGGUUAUUUAAGUGAGGUGUGAAAGCCCCGGGCUUAACCUGGGAAUUGCAUUUCAGACUGGGUAACUAGGGUACUUUAGGGAGGGGUAGAAUUCCACGUGUAGCGGUGAAAUGCGUAGAGAUGUGGAGGAAUACCGAAGGCGAAGGCAGCCCCUUGGGAAUGUACUGACGCUCAUGUGCGAAAGCGUGGGGAGCAAACAGGAUUAGAUACCCUGGUAGUCCACGCUGUAAACGCUGUCGAUUUGGGGGUUGGGGUUUAACUCUGGCGCCCGUAGCUAACGUGAUAAAUCGACCGCCUGGGGAGUACGGCCGCAAGGUUA